rnacentral:rRNA from 1 species
GCAGAGAUGCUUUGGUGCCUUCGGGAACUCUGAGACAGGUGCUGCAUGGCUGUCGUCAGCUCGUGUUGUGAAAUGUUGGGUUAAGUCCCGCAACGAGCGCAACCCUUAUCCUUUGUUGCCAGCGGUCCGGCCGGGAACUCAAAGGAGACUGCCAGUGAUAAACUGGAGGAAGGUGGGGAUGACGUCAAGUCAUCAUGGCCCUUACGAGUAGGGCUACACACGUGCUACAAUGGCGCAUACAAAGAGAAGCGACCU